CAGUAGCCGCGGUAAUACGUAGGGGGCAAGCGUUACUCGGAAUUACUGGGCGUAAAGCGUGCGUAGGUGGUGGUUUAAGUCCGUUGUGAAAGCCCUGGGCUCAACCUGGGAAUUGCAGUGGAUACUGGAUCACUUGAGUGUGGUAGAGGAUAGUGGAAUUUCCGGUGUAGCAGUGAAAUGCGUAGAGAUCGGAAGGAACAUCUGUGGCGAAGGCGACUAUCUGGGCCAACACUGACACUGAGGCACGAAAGCGUGGGGAGCAAACAGGAUUAGAUACCCGAGUAGUCCCUGUCUCUUAUAC
rnacentral:rRNA from 1 species